UACGGGGGGAGCAAGCGUUGUUCGGAUUUACUGGGCGUAAAGGGCGCGUAGGCGGCCACCGCAAGUCGACUGUGAAAUCUCCGGGCUUAACCCGGAAAGGUCAGCCGAUACUGCGGGGCUAGAGUGCAGAAGGGGCAACCGGAAUUCCUGGUGUAGCGGUGAAAUGCGCAGAUAUCAGGAGGAACACCAAUUGCGAAGGCAGCACUCUGGGACGUGACUGACGCUGAGACGCGAAAGCGUGGGGAGCAAACAGG
rnacentral:rRNA from 1 species